rnacentral:lncRNA from 1 species
UGGAGCCACAAUUUGAGAAUGACGUAUCUGAGUUAGAGUCUCCUGGAAUUGAGGUUUAUGUAACUUUUUCAGACGGUUGUUCCCCACCCUGCUCCUCUCAAUCACUCCCCAGCUGGAAAAUGGAGCCCAAAACUGGCAUCAUACAGGCAGUGAAGCUCUCAGAAAAGAAAAAAAAAAUAGUUUUGGAGUAGUCAUUCUACUUCCAAAGAGAGGAGUUUAUCAACUACUACAUUUAUGGGAAUCAGGAGAGGAAGAGAGAAUUUGAAUGGCAACCCGAAGGAACAUGAUGUUCUAAUUUCAAAACUGG